rnacentral:rRNA from 1 species
UACGUAGGGUGCGAGCGUUGUCCGGAAUUAUUGGGCGUAAAGAGCUCGUAGGCGGUUUGUUGCGUCUAUCGUGAAAACCUGCGGCUUAACUGUGGGCUUGCGGUGGAUACGGGCAGACUUGAGUUCGGUAGGGGAGAAUGGAAUUCCCGGUGUAGCGGUGAAAUGCGCAGAUAUCGGGAGGAACACCGGUGGCGAAGGCGGUUCUCUGGGCCUUACCUGACGCUGAGGAGCGAAAGCGUGGGGAGCGAACAGG